rnacentral:rRNA from 1 species
AUCCAGACUCCUACGGGAGGCAGCAGUGAGGAAUAUUGGUCAAUGGGCGGGAGCCUGAACCAGCCAAGUCGCGUGAGGGAAGACGGUCCUACGGAUUGUAAACCUCUUUUGCCGGGGAGCAACGGGGUCCUUGCGAGGGCCCGAUGAGAGUACCCGGAGAAAAAGCAUCGGCUAACUCCGUGCCAGCAGCCGCGGUAAUACGGAGGAUGCGAGCGUUAUCCGGAUUUAUUGGGUUUAAAGGGUGCGUAGGGGGGGGUUUUAAGGCGGGGUCAAAGGGCGGGGCCCAACCCCCGGCCUGCCGUUGAAACUGGCGGCCUCGAGUGGGCGAGAAGUAUGCGGAAUGCGUGGUGUAGCGGUGAAAUGCAUAGAUAUCACGCAGAACUCCGAUUGCGAAGGCAGCAUACCGGCGCGCAACUGACGCUCAUGCACGAAAGCGUGGGUAUCGAACAGGAUUAGAUACCCCAGUA